rnacentral:rRNA from 1 species
UGUAUGGUUAAGUGACUAAGCGUACACGGUGGAUGCCUGGGCAGUCAGAGGCGAUGAAGGACGUACUAACUUGCGAUAAGCGCAGAUAAGGCAGUAAGAGCCGUUUGAGUCUGCGAUUUCCGAAUGGGGAAACCCAACUGCAUAAGCAGUUACUGUUAACUGAAUACAUAGGUUAACAGAGCAAACCGGGGGAACUGAAACAUCUAAGUACCCCGAGGAGAAGAAAUCAACCGAGAUUCCGGUAGUAGCGGCGAGCGAACCUGGAUUAGCCCUUAAGCACUCGGUGAAGUAGGUGAACAAGCUGGAAAGCUUGGCGAUACAGGGUGAUAGCCCCGUAACCGACGCUUCAUCGAGCGUGAAAUCGAGUAGGGCGGGACACGUGAUAUCCUGUCUGAAUAUGGGGGGACCAUCCUCCAAGGCUAAAUACUCCUGACUGACCGAUAGUGAACCAGUACCGUGAGGGAAAGGCGAAAAGAACCCCUGUGAGGGGAGUGAAAUAGAACCUGAAACCGUGUACGUACAAGCAGUAGGAGCACCUUCGUGGUGUGACUGCGUACCUUUUGUAUAAUGGGUCAGCGACUUAUAUUCAGUGGCAAGGUUAACCGUAUAGGGGAGCCGUAGCGAAAGCGAGUCUUAACUGGGCGCUCAGUCUCUGGAUAUAGACCCGAAACCGGGUGAUCUAGCCAUGGGCAGGUUGAAGGUUGAGUAACAUCAACUGGAGGACCGAACCGACUAAUGUUGAAAAAUUAGCGGAUGACUUGUGGCUAGGGGUGAAAGGCCAAUCAAACUCGGAGAUAGCUGGUUCUCCCCGAAAGCUAUUUAGGUAGCGCCUCGGACGAAUACUACUGGGGGUAGAGCACUGUUAAGGCUAGGGGGUCAUCCCGACUUACCAACCCUUUGCAAACUCCGAAUACCAGUAAGUACUAUCCGGGAGACACACGGCGGGUGCUAACGUCCGUCGUGGAGAGGGAAACAACCCAGACCGCCAGCUAAGGUCCCAAAGUAUUGCUAAGUGGGAAACGAUGUGGGAAGGCUCAGACAGCUAGGAUGUUGGCUUAGAAGCAGCCAUCAUUUAAAGAAAGCGUAAUAGCUCACUAGUCGAGUCGGCCUGCGCGGAAGAUGUAACGGGGCUAAGCAAUACACCGAAGCUGCGGCAAUAUCUUUUAGAUAUUGGGUAGGGGAGCGUUCUGUAAGCCGUUGAAGGUGAAUCGUAAGGUUUGCUGGAGGUAUCAGAAGUGCGAAUGCUGACAUGAGUAACGACAAAGGGGGUGAAAAACCUCCUCGCCGGAAGACCAAGGGUUCCUGUCCAACGUUAAUCGGGGCAGGGUGAGUCGACCCCUAAGGUGAGGCCGAAAGGCGUAAUCGAUGGGAAACGGGUUAAUAUUCCCGUACUUCUGACUAUUGCGAUGGGGGGACGGAGAAGGCUAGGUGGGCCAGGCGACGGUUGUCCUGGUUCAAGUGCGUAGGCUUGAGAGUUAGGUAAAUCCGGCUCUCUUUAAGGCUGAGACACGACGUCGAGCUGCUACGGCAGUGAAGUCAUUGAUGCCAUGCUUCCAGGAAAAGCCUCUAAGCUUCAGAUAGUCAGGAAUCGUACCCCAAACCGACACAGGUGGUCGGGUAGAGAAUACCAAGGCGCUUGAGAGAACUCGGGUGAAGGAACUAGGCAAAAUGGUACCGUAACUUCGGGAGAAGGUACGCUCUUGAUGGUGAAGUCCCUCGCGGAUGGAGCUGACGAGAGUCGCAGAUACCAGGUGGCUGCAACUGUUUAUUAAAAACACAGCACUGUGCAAAAUCGCAAGAUGACGUAUACGGUGUGACGCCUGCCCGGUGCCGGAAGGUUAAUUGAUGGGGUUAGCGCAAGCGAAGCUCUUGAUCGAAGCCCCGGUAAACGGCGGCCGUAACUAUAACGGUCCUAAGGUAGCGAAAUUCCUUGUCGGGUAAGUUCCGACCUGCACGAAUGGCGUAAUGAUGGCCACGCUGUCUCCACCCGAGACUCAGUGAAAUUGAAAUCGCUGUGAAGAUGCAGUGUACCCGCGGCUAGACGGAAAGACCCCGUGAACCUUUACUACAGCUUGGCACUGAACAUUGAACCUACAUGUGUAGGAUAGGUGG